rnacentral:rRNA from 1 species
AUCAACGCUGGCGGCGUGCCUAACACAUGCAAGUCGAACGCGAAAGUCCCGCAAGGGAUGAGUAGCGUGGCAAACGGGUGAGUAACGCGUGGGCGACCUGCCUUCGAGUGGGGGAUAACCUUCCGAAAGGAGGGCUAAUACCGCAUGACAUCCCGUGUUUGGAUACACGGACAUCAAAGCCGGGGAUCGCAAGACCUGGCGCUUGGAGAGGGGCCCGCGUCCGAUUAGCUAGUUGGUGAGGUAACGGCUCACCAAGGCUCCGAUCGGUAUCCGGCCUGAGAGGGCGGACGGACACACUGGGACUGAGACACGGCCCAGACUCCUACGGGAGGCAGCAGUGGGGAAUUGUUCGCAAUGGGCGCAAGCCUGACGACGCAACGCCGCGUGGAGGAUGAAGACCUUCGGGUCGUAAACUCCUUUCGACCGAGAUGAAUACCUGCCGACCUAAUACGUUGGCAGGCCGACAGUAUCGAGGGAAGAAGCCCCGGCUAACUCCGUGCCAGCAGCCGCGGUAAUACGGGGGGGGCAAGCGUUGUUCGGAAUUACUGGGCGUAAAGGGUUCGUAGGUGGCCAACUAAGUCAGACGUGAAGUCCCUCAGCUUAACUGGGGAACUGCGUCUGAUACUGGUCGGCUUGAGUGCAGGAGAGGAAUGCGGAAUUCCAGGUGUAGCGGUGAAAUGCGUAGAUAUCUGGAGGAACACCGGUGGCGAAGGCGGCAUUCUGGACUGCAACUGACACUGAG